CUGCUUGGCCAGAGUCCAGCACCAACAGCAGCCAGCCCUGUUCUGGGAGACCCUCCCCAGCGCUCCAUGGCCAACUGUGGUCACCUUUGUGGUCUCAGUGCCCUCCCCCCCCCCCGGCCUCCACAGGGCAAGCAGGUAACAGCCGCACCACACCUCCCCCCAACUCACUUGGGACUGGAUCCACCCUGAGGAGCCUCGGGUCAACAUCCUGUUUCCUGCAAGCCCUCCUGGAGGCCACACAGAGGGGUGUUUGUUCUUAGUGUGCAGCGGGAGAGAUGCUAAUCGCGUUGGAUAGCUGGUCCCCGCUGAAGGUCAGGAGGUAAGGCGACCCACGGUUAUAAAUAACGGAGCCAGGCUGCUGAGGGCAGCUUGCUGGAUCCGCGCCCCUCUCCAGCCGACCGGCCCGGAUUGAUUUCUGGCCUCCCGGCUGCCACGGGAACUUGAACCCCAGAGAGCUGAGCGCCAUGACCUUUGGGGGUGGUGCGCAAGGUCAGGCCAGGC
ensembl:processed_transcript RIKEN cDNA B230206L02 gene